rnacentral:lncRNA from 1 species
CCUUUUUGUUUCUACAAGACAUCAACCUUUGAUCUCUUGAUUGAAGACUCUUCUCUAAGGAUCUUGGUACCUCAAACCACCCAUGUGAUCCUCUUUCUCUUCUGGUUUUUCUAUCAAAAAACUACAGAUUUUAGACUCCUAUAUCUUCUCAUAUGGGAUGGCAACAAUAUAAGAGGUAGAAAAGGUCAAGAGUCCUAGUUAAAGAAGGAACUUAUGGGGUGUC